rnacentral:rRNA from 1 species
CCUACGGGGGGCUGCAGUGGGGAAUAUUGGACAAUGGGGGCAACCCUGAUCCAGCCAUGCCGCGUGUGUGAAGAAGGCCCUCGGGUUGUAAAGCACUUUCAGUGAGGAAGAACGCCUGGUGGUUAAUACCCAUCAGGAAAGACAUCACUCACAGAAGAAGCACCGGCUAACUCCGUGCCAGCAGCCGCGGUAAUACGGAGGGUGCGAGCGUUAAUCGGAAUUACUGGGCGUAAAGCGCGCGUAGGUGGCUUGAUAAGCCGGUUGUGAAAGCCCCGGGCACAACCUGGGAACGGCAUCCGGAACUGUCAAGCUAGAGUGCAGGAGAGGAAGGUAGAAUUCCCGGUGUAGCGGUGAAAUGCGUAGAGAUCGGGAGGAAUACCAGUGGCGAAGGCGGCCUUCUGGACUGACACUGACACUGAGGUGCGAAAGCGUGGGUAGCAAACAGGAUUAGAUACCCGAGUAGUC